rnacentral:rRNA from 1 species
GAGUUUGAUCUUGGCUCAGAUUGAACGCUGGCGGCAUGCCUUACACAUGCAAGUCGAACGGCAGCAUGAUCUAGCUUGCUAGAUUGAUGGCGAGUGGCGAACGGGUGAGUAAUACAUCGGAACGUGCCCUGUAGUGGGGGAUAACUAGUCGAAAGAUUAGCUAAUACCGCAUACGACCUGAGGGUGAAAGUGGGGGACCGCAAGGCCUCAUGCUAUAGGAGCGGCCGAUGUCUGAUUAGCUAGUUGGUGGGGUAAAGGCCCACCAAGGCGACGAUCAGUAGCUGGUCUGAGAGGACGAUCAGCCACACUGGGACUGAGACACGGCCCAGACUCCUACGGGAGGCAGCAGUGGGGAAUUUUGGACAAUGGGCGAAAGCCUGAUCCAGCAAUGCCGCGUGCGUGAAGAAGGCCUCGGUGUAG